rnacentral:rRNA from 1 species
GACGAACGCUGGCGGCGUGCUUAACACAUGCAAGUCGAACGGAAAGGCCCUGCUUUUGUGGGGUGCUCGAGUGGCGAACGGGUGAGUAACACGUGAGUAACCUGCCCUUGACUUUGGGAUAACUUCAGGAAACUGGGGCUAAUACCGGAUAGGAGCUCCUGCUGCAUGGUGGGGGUUGGAAAGUUUCGGCGGUUGGGGAUGGACUCGCGGCUUAUCAGCUUGUUGGUGGGGUAGUGGCUUACCAAGGCUUUGACGGGUAGCCGGCCUGAGAGGGUGACCGGCCACAUUGGGACUGAGAUACGGCCCAGACUCCUACGGGAGGCAGCAGUGGGGAAUAUUGCACAAUGGGCGGAAGCCUGAUGCAGCAACACCGCGUGCGGGAUGACGGCCUUCGGGUUGUAAACCGCUUUCACCUGUGACGAAGCGUGAGUGACGGUAAUGGGUAAAGAAGCACCGGCUAACUACGUG